rnacentral:misc_RNA from 1 species
GCCAAUUUUAGAUCUUCAUCUUCUGGCGCUGGACCAUUGGCCAAACCAGAUUCAACUAUCUUGUCUCCUCCAUUUCCUGCUUUUGGGCCAAUACGUAGACCAUUACCAGAUGAUAUAGUCUCUGGUUGUGCAAGUGUCUCGUGCUUGCUGCUUUCAUCUCUAAGGGAAGCUAGGACAGGUAGCUCAACAAAAAGUUGAUCAGUCUUCUUUGAUGUAUCAUCCAGACCAAUAAGUUCCUUAUAUAUGAACCCGCCCUGAGUGAUGACAAAGUCCCUGAUGGAUACUCCACCUGAAAAGCAUUUUAUGCCAGUCA